UUUAGCUUAUUCAAGUCUUAACAGUCUCCUUGCCCCAGUGAUCAUGGAGCAGGCUCCCAAUGUGACCGUGUUUGUCCCGCCGCCCCGAGACACCUUCCUCGACUCUGGAGAAUCCAAACUCACCUGCCAGGCCAUGGGCUUCAGCCCCAAGCAGAUCACAGUGUCCUGGUUAUAGGAUAGAAAGCCUGUGGGGUCUGGCUUCAUCACAGACCAGAUGUUGGCUGAGAACACAGUCUCCCAGCCCCUGACCUUCAAGGUUACCAGCACACUGACCAUCCCCGAGGUCGACUGGCUGGCCCAGAAGGUGUUCACCUGCCGCAUGGACCACAAGUCAGGCACCUUCAAGAAGAAUGUGUCCUCCUCCGUGUGUAUCCCCACAACUCCAUCCACAGACAUCGAAGUCUUCCUCAUCCCACCCUCUUGCUGGCACCUUCCUAAACAAGUCUGCCAAGCUGACCUGCCUGGUCACACUGGCCUGACCCACCGUGGAGGACUGAAUAUCUCCUGGGCCAACCAGGAUGGCAAGGACCUGCUAACCAAAAUCACAGAUCCUGUGAGCCAACCUAACGGCACCCUCAGUGUCAUGGGUGAGGCCAGUGCCUGUGUGGAAGAGUGGGACUCUAGGAAGGCAUUCAUGUGCACUGUGAUCCACCAGGACCUGCCCUUCCCAAUGAAGAAGACCAUCUCCAAGCACACAGAGCAAGCCAAGCACCCACCUGCCGUGUAUGUGCUGCCCCCAGCCCGGGAACAGCUGGUCCUGCACGAACAGGCCACUGUCUUCUGCCUGGUGAAGGGCUUUGCACCUGCAGACUUCUUUGUGCAGUGGCUACAGAGUGGGCAGACCUUGUCCUCAGACAGGUAUGUGACCAGCGCCCCGAUGCCUGAGACCCAGUCUCCAGGUUUCUACUAUGCCCACAGCCUGCUGACAGUGACAGAGGAGGACUGGAGCUCAGGAGAGACCUUCACCUGUGUCGUGGGCCACGAGGCCCUGCCCCACAUGGUGACUGAGAGGACCGUGGACAAGUCCACUGAGGGGGAGGCGAACGCCAAAGAAGAGGGCUUCGAGAACCUGUGGACCACUGCGUCCACCUUCAUCGUGCUCUUCCCGCUGAGCCUGUUCUAUAGCACUACAGUCACCCUGUUCAAGGUGAAGUGACCCAGCGGUGAGAAGACCCUGGAGACCAAGAGCCUCAGCUGGUGUGUCCU